CUCAGAAUUUUCGACAUCGAACAUAGAAAGUUUUGGAAAAACGUUAGAGGUACUUGUCGUUACUCCCAGGGUGGCAACUUCCUCUUUACACAGCAGGAUGUCGGCAUCUUAAGCCUCUUUUUAGGGUUUAAUAUCAAUUCCCUAAAAUCUGCAAACCAGUAUUUUCUACUCCAAUUUAUGAUCCAUCAUUGGUCGUAAAUUUUUACUUUGUUAGCGAAACCAUUACAAAUACUAGAUGAGCUUUUGCCCUAUGAUUAUCUUGCCAUAAUUGAAUUGUAAUCUAAGGUAUUAUAGUUUUCUUGUAUGAUUUGUGGUUUGUAUCUUCAUAAAAACACUUAAUGGCAACUUUGUUACCAAGAUUUUUUGUGUGAUUUUAUAAGUUGUAACAAUGAAUUUAGUACAAAUAUCAAAGGAAAAAUAUUCAAGUGUUGUGAUUGAGGAAGUUUACGGCCCCACGUCGUUACUUACACUGCUUUUUCUGCAUAUAUGAAAAAUUUGAUUGAGUUGACCUCCCAAACUAAUGACUUGUAACGUGAUUUGAAUUUAAGUUGCAACUUUUAAGUGAACUUGAUGCGUUUGUAAUCAUGGAAUCUCGGAUGGGUUAAUCUAGCAUCCUUCUCUUUCCUCGUUUUACAAAUGUGCAGCACAUAGUUGGUCAACUCGAAGUCCUCACACGAACAGUUUCCUUACUUGAAGAGCGCCUGUCUCACACGGAGAAUAAGGUUAGUCAAAUCCCUCUCCUUUCACUCAUUUAAAAAUAGAAUAACACACACCAGGAUUUUUUAUUUGCUUUUGUUAUGUUUGAAAUCUGUGCAGAUGAUAAAUUGUGAGGCAUACGAGAAAAGACAAAGACCAAGGACUGCAGGGGAUUAAUCGUGGCAAUUGAUGCGAAGCAUUUUACACUGACUUUUUGCAGUUUUUAUGAGUCUUACCUGCGGUCUUGGCUAGUCUUGUUAGCUAAGAUGUUCUCCCUUGUGAGGAAAUUUUAUUCUAUUUAAAGACGUUGAAAGUAAGCAGUUCAGUGGCUAAUCCUGUUGUAUAAUAGUAAGAUUUAAUGUUGAUCAAUUAUGC
rnacentral:lncRNA from 1 species